rnacentral:rRNA from 1 species
CCCUUAGAUGUUCUGGGCCGCACGCGCGCUACACUGAUGAACGCAACGAGACGACCUGUACCGAAAGGCAUGGGUAAACUUGUGAAAGUUCAUCGUGAUGGGGAUAGAUUAUUGCAAUUAUUAAUCUUCAACGAGGAAUUCCUAGUAAGCGCGAGUCAUCAGCUCGCGUUGAUUACGUCCCUGCCCUUUGUACACACCGCCCGUCGCUCCUACCGAUUGAAUGGUCCGGUGAAAUCUUCGGAUUGCUGGAUAGGAGGGCAACCACCUAUCUGCGAGAAGUUGCUUGAACCUUAUCAUUUAGAGGAAGGAGAANUCGUANCA